rnacentral:tRNA from 1 species
GCCUUGGUAGCUCAGCGGUAGAGCGCCUCUCUGGUAAGGAGGAGGUCGCGGGUUCGAAUCCCGCCCAAGGCU